UGAUAUCUCGGAACUGACCUGCCA
rnacentral:siRNA from 1 species